CUGGUGUGACAUUCAGUGGCCUUGUUUGCAGCUAGUAUGAUGAGACAAGUGGAUCAGUAGUCCCCAGUCUUUUUGGCACCAGGGACUAGUUUCAUGGAAGACAACUUAUCCAUGGACUGGGCAGCGGGAUGGUUUCAGGAUGAUUCAACCACUCACUCUGGAAGAAACCAGCAGCUAUUUGGUGAGAACAAUCAAGCAGCCCUACAAAAAUAUCUAUGUGGAGAGAACCUGAGGCCUCAAUUACAAACCCCACCAACUUGCAGGCCAUGAAUGUUAGCAAACUUGAAGGUGGAUCUUCUAGUUUCGGUCAAGCCUUGGAUGACAGCCCCAAUUGAAAUCUGACUGUAACCACAUGAGAUGUCCUGAGGCACAACCACCGUGAUAAAUUGUUCUUGAAUUUCUCAUAUACAGAAACUCAAUUAGGUAAUAAAUAUUGUGAUUUUAUGCCA